UUUUUUUUGGGGGGGGGGAACCUGUUCGAUCCCCCUAGUAACCGGGACUGGGAACCCCUAGCAACAUGGACCGUGAAGAAGGUUCAGCGUGACUGCGUCACCUGGAUUGUGUCUCUAGGGGCAGAGAACAGCAAAAUGGGGAGGGACCUGGGAGAUCACCCGGUCCGAACCUCUGUUAAGUAACAGAGGAGGGAACCGAGAUCCUUGAUCUAUCAUCAUCUUUGGAGAGAUGGGUUGGUGUGAGGCUUGUGCCUUGGAUUAAAGUCCUUCAGAAAUGGGAAUGAAUGGAGACUGGACCUGUGGGAUCAUUAGAGGAGAGAAUACUUACGAUUCAAGGCCAUGGCUUGGAUGACCAGGCUGAGAGGUGCGUGCUGCAGAGGACACCCGAUCAGGAUUUAGCACAAAGAGGAUUGGAACCAAGGCCUGGACAACUGACUUACCAAGCCCUGCCCAGAUGCCACUGUCCACUCGGUGAGUUAGAGGCCCUGUGCCAAGGAGGAGCCAAAG